rnacentral:tmRNA from 1 species
GGGGAUGUAAAGGUUUCGACGGGGGAGGCGACCCCUGGUAAGCGGGCAGCGGUAUGGGACCGCUAUAAAACCCAUAAACCUUAAAAUUAAACGACAACGACUUUGUUGCUGUUGCUGCUUAAAUAAGCAGCCGUUCCUGCCUGGAGUACCGCGGCCGGGAUAGGAGCGUCACUCAGCGGUGAACGUGCGCAAGGGGGCCGCCUUCGACCCUUGCCAUGAACCAGAGGGCUACCGACGCGGGGAGCUUGCUUGUGAGCGCCCCGCCGGGGGAAUCCGAAACCAUAAGCUACGCCCGUAGAAAGCCUUGGUGAACUUCUUUCGGACGCGGGUUCGAUUCCCGCCAUCUCCACCA